UUGCUUUUUCCNAGGUUAGCGGCGGACGGGUGAGUAACACGUGGGUAACCUGCCCUAUAGACCGGGAUAACUCGCGGAAACGCGUGCUAAUACCGGAUAACACAGCGGAGCGCAUGCUCCGGUGUUGAAAGGUGGUUCUGCUACCGCUAUAGGAUGGGCCCGCGGCGCAUUAGCUGGUUGGUGGGGUAACGGCCUACCAAGGCGACGAUGCGUAGCCGACCUGAGAGGGUGAUCGGCCACACUGGGACUGAGACACGGCCCAGACUCCUACGGGAGGCAGCAGUAGGGAAUCUUCCACAAUGGGCGAAAGCCUGAUGGAGCAACGCCGCGUGAGCGAAGAAGGUCUUCGGAUCGUAAAGCUCUGUUGUAAGGGAAGAACAAGUGCGGUAGUAACUGACCGCACCCUGACGGUACCUUACGAGAAAGCCACGGCUAACUACGUGCCAGCAGCCGCGGUAAUACGUAGGUGGCGAGCGUUGUCCGGAAUUAUUGGGCGUAAAGCGCGCGCAGGCGGUCUCUUAAGUCUGAUGUGAAAGCCCCCGGCUCAACCGGGGAGGGUCAUUGGAAAC
rnacentral:rRNA from 1 species